rnacentral:rRNA from 1 species
GAUGAACGCUGGCGGCGUGCCUAAUACAUGCAAGUCGAGCGAACAGACGAGGAGCUUGCUCCUCUGACGUUAGCGGCGGACGGGUGAGUAACACGUGGAUAACCUACCUAUAAUACUGGGAUAACUUCGGGAAACCGGAGCUAAUACCGGAUAAUAUAUUGAACCGCAUGGUUCAAUAGUGAAAGACGGUUUUGCUGUCACUUAUAGAUGGAUCCGCGCCGGAUUAGCUAGUUGGUAAGGUAACGGCUUACCAAGGCAACGAUGCGUAGCCGACCUGAGAGGGUGAUCGGCCACACUGGAACUGAGACACGGUCCAGACUCCUACGGGAGGCAGCAGUAGGGAAUAUUCCGCAAUGGGCGAAAGCCUGACGGAGCAACGCCGCGUGAGUGAUGAAGGUCUUCGGAUCGUAAAACUCUGUUAUUAGGGAAGAACAAAUGUGUAAGUAACUAUGCACGUCUUGACGGUACCUAAUCAGAAAGCCACGGCUAACUACGUG